CCAACAAUUCAGACGGGUUGUAAAGCGAGGAUCUCUGCAUCUUCCAAUGUACUUGGUACCUGGAGAAUUAACACAGUCCACCUUGAACACAAUCAUGAGACAAGUCCUUCAAAAUCUAGAUUGUUCCUCUGUAAUAGAGAAUUGAGUGAACAGGUGAAGCGAAGGCUCGAGGUUAAUGAUAUGGCAGGAAUUCCAUUGUACAAGAGUUUUAACUUUGCAGUAGUUGAAGCAGGUGGGUAUGAGAACCUCACAUGCGUGGAAAAGGAUUGUCGGAACUACAUUGAACAAGUGCGGCGACUAAGACUUGGAGAAGGAGAUGCAGCAGCCAUACAGUCCUAUUUUUCAGAAAUGUGAGCGAAAUGCUCGGGCUUUUUGUUUAGUAUUGAUUUGGACGAUGAAGGGCGGUUGAAGAAUGUGUUUUGGGCGGAUUAUCGAUGUAGGAAAGCGUAUAAGGAGUUCGGGGAUGUUGUCACAUUUGAUACCAUGUACCUAACCAAUAAGUACGAUAUGCCAUUUGCCCCUUUUGUUGGCGUAAACCAUCAUGGCCAAUCAACACUGCUUGGUUGUGGUUUGAUAUCGAAUGAGGAUACGAACACUUUUGUCUGGCUAUUCGGGACAUGGCUUCAGUGUAUGCACGACCAACCUCCGCACGGAAUAAUUACCGAUCAGGAUAGGGCCAUGCAAAGUGCAAUUAACAUUGUUUUUCCACAUAUAAAGCACAGAUGGUGUUUAUGGCAUAUCCUGAAGAAAUUACCUGAGAAGUUCGGAUAUCACGUGGACAAGGGUUAAAUAUUUGCUACUAUUCACGAAUUGGUAUAUGAUUCGUAAUUUAUUGAACAACUCGAAGAUGGUUGGAGAGCAAUGCUCGAUACAUUCGAGUUGCAUGAUAACAAUUGGUUAUCGGGACUAUAUGAAAAUAGAGGACGUUGGGUCCUUUGCUACUUCAAAAGCACAUUUUGGGCUGGAAUGCCGGCCACACAGCGAAGUGAGAGUAUGAAUGCUUUCUUCGAUGGUUAUGUGCAUUCAAAGACCUCGCUAAAACAGUUUGUCGAACAGUAUGAACGAGCACUACAAAAUAACGUUGAGAAGGAAUUUCAGUCUAAUUUUAAGUCUUUCUCACAGACAGUACCAUGUGCUACAACAUUCGAAAUGGAGAAACAAUUUCAAGAGGUCUACACCAUUUCCAAGUUUCGAGAAGUUCAAGCUGAGUUUACGGGAAAAGUUUACUGCAACCUUAUAUCUGCUUCGCAAGGACCGUUGGGGAUAACAUAUGAAGUACGAGAGGAUGUUGUGUGUGGUGAUCGCUGAAAAAAGAAAACAUUUUUUGUCGCAUUUCAGAGAGAGACAUGUGACAUUAGAUGCAGUUGCCACUUGUUUGAGUUCCGUGGAAUAAUUUGCAGGCACGCGAUCGCAGUGUUGAUUUGUAAUGAUGUUUACGUACUGCCAAAUCGCUUUAUACUGAGGAGAUGGAGGAGAGACGUAAGUAGAGCACAUACAAGGGUACCAAUUAAUUACAAUGGGUUGGAAAGUACUCCUGGCCAAUUGAGGUAUGACAAUAUGUGUCAGGCAUUCGCCUCCGUGGCAGACCUUGCAGCAGGCGAUUAAGUCCGGUCACGUGUGGUAAUGGAAUGGAUUCAAACCAUAAAGAAAGAGCUUAUGAUGCCAUCACCAAGCAGUGCAAGUCUCUUAUAUCAUCACGCUUUUCAGUUAACCUCGCACGGUACUGGAUCGCAAAAAUACCGUCGCCCGAAGCAUAGGUGAUCCUAAGCAG
rnacentral:lncRNA from 1 species